rnacentral:lncRNA from 1 species
CCCAAAUGCCAGCUUCAUGCAGCCUACUGUUUUUAGAGUGGUCCUGGUCACAACGUGUUCCUGGCUCUACCUGUAACCUGAGCAGCUUCGCGGAAUCACGUUCAGACACCGACCGGAUUGGCCCCGAAGUUUUAAUUGUGGGACUGCUGGAAUUUAACGUGCACGGCGCCGAUUCACCAUCCACGAACCCCACGGCCGCAGGUGCCAUGACUAAAAUUGGGAAGGGAGCGACCAAAUGUCAAACCGCGUCAAUAUUCAAAUAACCUGCGUGGCGGGUACACGUUUCGCUUCCACGGGGGGGAAAAGACGUGCAAACGUGAAACGAGUUGACUUCAAGUUCAAAGCAACGAGACCAGCAGGUACACUUUCCCACCUCGACCACCGCAGGGCUGAAAAAGAGAGAGAGAGAGAGAGAGAGAGAGAGAGAGAGAGAGAGAGGGAGUUUUACCUUGUCGGGCAAAUAAUAAAGGUGGAUUCCGAAGGACCAAAAAGGUUGGAGUUAAGUCUUGUUUCCAGUCUUCGCGGAGGACUUUUCCCCCCCUGUCCUCAGAGUCGGACCAGGCGGGAAGACAGCUGCUGCCUACGCAUGAAACUUGAGAUGCGUCGCAGCUCUGAAAACAACUUCCUGUUGUCAUGAGACCCAUUUUCCCCAUUUUCAAGUGAUGGUUAAAGACUGACAUCUUCAAGGACUACGGGAGUACACAUAACUUUAAUAUGGCUGCUGAUGGUCUGUGACAGAGCUGAUAGUCUCUGUUGAACAGCAAUUGUUGAUUUCUGCACAGAAAUGAAGAUCAGAUAUGGACUUCAAAGCACUGAUGGAUGUUGCUCUGCAAGGUGGUCUGCUAAAUGUUAUUAUACAUGUAUAUGUAUACUUGAAAUUGAUGAAAUUGGUGGCAUGUACAGAGGAGCUCUUCAGAGGAGUUCAGUCCCUUUUCCCAACUCCACAGGGACUCAUCAGAAAUGAAACUGAAGACACUGGGCCCACCCCUGGACACUCCAAGACCCAGCUGGAUCCUGCGUGCUGGACAGAGGCAUGCAUCCUGUGAGGUGAAGGUGACGGUGGCCAUCUCUGCGACGGGCCGGAUGUCAACAUGUGACAACUAGAGAAAGCCCAGAGCUCAGGGGUCAUAAACAGACCCAACCAAGGCUAAAACUCACACAAUACCAUUCAAUUACAACGAGUGAAACAGGAAGCCUCACUCCCACAACAGUGAACAUUGUUGAGUGAAGAGUCCAUUUUACAAAACUUAUUGGAUAACGACUAAUGAAUUAUAAAAGAUUAGAUGAAUUAUAAAAGAUUAGAUGUCAUUAUCAUAAAGAAAAUGUAGACAACAAUGUAGAAAAUGUAGAAGUUGUUAUCAUGCAUAUUUCAUAGUAUGAGCAGAGUCAUCAUGAUGUGCUAUUGAAUCAAGUAGUAUACAAUGGAGAUCAAUAAAUUGAUUGAAAUGAUUUUUUUAAUGAGUGUA